GACAGAGGGUGCAAACGUUGCUCGGAAUCACUGGGCGUAAAGGGCGUGUAGGCGGGAAGGAAAGUCAGAUGUGAAAUCCCUGGGCUCAACCCAGGAAUUGCAUUUGAAACUCCCUUUCUUGAGUACCGGAGAGGAAGGCGGAAUUCCUGGUGUAGAGGUGAAAUUCGUAGAUAUCAGGAGGAACACCAGUGGCGAAGGCGGCCUUCUGGACGGUAACUGACGCUGAGACGCGAAAGCGUGGGGAGCAAACAGG
rnacentral:rRNA from 1 species